rnacentral:tRNA from 1 species
GAGGGUAUAGCUCAGGCUAUAGAGCACAUACUUAGUAUGCAUGAGGUCCUGGGUUCGAUCCCCAGUAUCUCCA